UUAAAAUGAACUUUCAUAUUGAUGGUGAAUUUUCUGUAAUUCCAACAACGUCAUUUACACUAUGUAGUUAACAGAUGGUGUUUUAGAUUUUUGGUUUCACCGACAGCAACAAAUGUCAACACAGAAUUAGACGGAAAAUAAGGCGACAAAAGACUACUUUGCAGGCCAUGCUUGCCAAGUACAAAAGCCUUGUUACACCCGAGCAAGCAGUUUGCAUCGAUCAUAUUCUGGACACAGAACAUCCCUGGCCUUGGCAAAUAACACAGAAUGACGCUGUUGAUUUCAGCACAAAAGGAAGUCUUUGAUAGGGUCAUGGCAGUUCAAAGGCUUCAAGAGGAGAAGAAGAUCCCUGUGAAAGAGAUCAAGUAGCACUGAGACUCUCUGAAGGCCCAUGUGUCUUGUCUGAGUGGUCUCUCCAUUAAGGUGAAAACACCCAGCAAGGACAUCUCACAGAAAAUGCAAAGAAGGGUCUCACUUGCAUCAAAGAGUUACAAAGGCGUGCAAGAAACGUCUUCCUG